rnacentral:misc_RNA from 1 species
GAUUAGCCACGAUAGCAACGGAAAUCCUCGAGGUUUGGCAAGUGAUUUUUUUCUAGCCAGAAAAGAGCGACUGCAAGAAGCUCCUUUUAUGGUGUAGAAAAAACAAUUGCUAACCAAGAGAUAUUAGUGUAUAGCGGGAAAUAGC